GAUGAACGCUAGCGGCAGGCUUAACACAUGCAAGUCGAGGGGCAGCACGAGGUAGCAAUACUUUGGUGGCGACCGGCGCACGGGUGCGUAACGCGUAUGCAACCUACCUUUAACAGGGGCAUAACACUGAGAAAUUGGUACUAAUUCCCCAUAACAUUCGAGAAGGCAUCUUCUUGGGUUAAAAACUCCGGUGGUUAAAGAUGGGCAUGCGUUGUAUUAGCUAGUUGGUGAGGUAACGGCUCACCAAGGCAACGAUACAUAGGGGGACUGAGAGGUUAACCCCCCACAUUGGUACUGAGACACGGACCAAACUCCUACGGGAGGCAGCAGUGAGGAAUAUUGGUCAAUGGACGCAAGUCUGAACCAGCCAUGCCGCGUGCAGGAAGACGGCUCUAUGAGUUGUAAACUGCUUUUGUACUAGGGUAAACGCUUCUACGUGUAGGAGCCUGAAAGUAUAGUACGAAUAAGGAU
rnacentral:rRNA from 1 species